rnacentral:sRNA from 1 species
AGACACACCUUGGGCUAUUGAACCACGA